rnacentral:rRNA from 1 species
UACGUAGGAUGCGAGCGUUAUCCGGAUUUAUUGGGUUUAAAGGGUGCGUAGGCGGUCCGUUAAGUCAGCGGUAAAAUUGCGGGGCUCAACCCCGUCGAGCCGUUGAAACUGGCAGACUUGAGUUGGCGAGAAGUACGCGGAAUGCGCGGUGUAGCGGUGAAAUGCAUAGAUAUCGCGCAGAACUCCGAUUGCGAAGGCAGCGUACCGGCGCCAGACUGACGCUGAGGCACGAAAGCGUGGGGAUCGAACAGG